CCAUCCAGGGAUCGAACCUGGGUCUCCUGCAUUGCAGGCAGAUUCCUUACCAACUGAGCUACCAGAGAAACCCUAUAUAUAUAAUUGACAUCUUCUGGAAAAGAAAACCAAGAGAUGAAAUGACCUGCCAAGAUUACCAACUAGUGAGUAACAGACUUUGUACCUUAAACUUGAAGUUCCUCCUAAUUCUUAUGAAAUAAUCUACCCAGUCUUCAAACUUUUUAAAAGUAUAGUAUGAAUGAAAGAAAAUGAAAUCGCUUUAUUUUUCACUAUAUUAAUUAGACUAUCAAGGCCAGUUUCUUCAUAGCUAGAACAUCUGAGGAAAAUGUGUGGGAAAUGAUUAUUAAUACUAAGCAAUAUGUACCAACUUAGAAGUAAAGGGCUACAGUUAAAGUCUUAACCCAGUGAGCUUUGAAAAUGGUGAUGCUGGAGGGUUGGGUGGAAGAAAAUGGCAGAAUUUUUUCUUCAUUCUGUUUCUAGCAUAUUUCAAUUUCAUUUUCUAAAGCACACAAUGACCACACAAUUUAACUUUUGACAAUACUUGUAACAGAUGUUUUGUUAUUACAGCUUCAAAGGUCAGUCAAGAAAGUAGGUAAGUCAAUAAUUCAAUACUGUCAAAAACUAAGAGCCCACCCUGACCCCACCAUUGCAGAAUGUGGUGCUAGAAGUUGUGGCUAGAUCCUAAAUUUUAUAGAUGAGGAAACUGAGAUCCGGAGGAGAUUAGUCAUUUACCAGGGGUCACAACUUAAACCUCUUUCCUUUGAGACUGGAAUUGACAUAUAUACACUGAGAUGUAUAAAACAGAUAACUAAUGAGAACCUACUGUAUAGCACAGGGAACUAUCUUAUAGUUCCUACAAACUCAGUGCUGUGUGGUGGACUAAGUGGGAAGGAAAUCCAAAAAAGAUGGGAUACAUACAUAGCUGAUUCACUUUGCUGCACAGCAAAAAGUAACACAAUAUUGUAAAGCUAGUAUUCUCCAAUAAAAAGAAAAAAGAAAAAACUCUCCCCUUGUGUUGCAGGGGGGUUCAAGGUCCUACUGAUGUUCCCUUUUUACUGGGCGAAUCAGCUUACUUUCUAAGUUGGAGAUCACAAGAGUGGCCUCAUGUUAGGAAGGCCACUGGGGAGCCACACGAAAGCUACACUGUCCCCAGUGGUAAGAGCUAGGGCCCAGAAUACAGAGGGCUGGCAGUGGCAGUUUUCCAGAUAACAGUGCUAAGAUCUACUAGUGGAUUCUGAGUUAUUUUUGAUGCAUUCUUUGCUUAGUUAAAGGAGCAACUGGACUAGGCUUCUAGCAAAUGGGUUCUAGUCCCAAUUCUAAUAUGAACCAAUGAUAAUAAGGCAAUAGCUAUUGUUUUCUGGGCACUUAGUAAGUGCCUUGCUAUGUGUCUCACUAUGUGUUAAAUAUUUUAUAACCAUUACUUCAUUUAAUCUUCAUAACCAUCACCAGAUGCUGUUGUUAUUUUUAGUUCACUGAUGUGGAAAAUAAGCUGUAUGCCCAAGGUCAUAGUCCAGGUUUGUUAAGCUCCAAAGCCCCUGCGUUUAACCAUUAUGCCUACCUGAUGUGAAGCUAUUACCUCAACUGUAGCAUCUGUCCUACGAAACAGUAAUCUUGAUGAUGGCUCACACCAAAGAGAGCUAACUAUGUAGCCAGCAGUAUUCUAAAUACGUUGUGUAUAGUACUUCGUUUUUACCAGAUGGGUACUGUUUUCAUCUCCAUUUUACAGAUGAGGAAACUAAGGACAAAAUCCUAGUGAUGUAACCUGCCCAAGGCUAUCAGAUAGGACAGUAGAGGCCCUAUUUUGAUCCCAGGACAUUUGGAUGUAGAAGCCACACCCAUAAUCAUCAUGCCUUCUGUAGAAGAUGUUACAUCCAGAAUGGAAACUCGGUCCUCCUGCUGCCCUGGCUGUGUCCCUGCUUCCUUUAUUUAUCGGCUUGUACCUUCAAGAGAAGCACUAUUCUGAGAACAGAGCCCACCUUGGAGUCUAAAAAUUGAGGAACUAAGAACCUGAUGGACGCAAGUGUGCUCAUUCUCAGGGGGAGUUUCCAAGUUAUGUGUCAUCUAACAGGUUUCCUGUUCUCUUCCCGUAAGAACAAAGAACAGACAUAAAACAUCCUAAUAAAUACUGACUGUGAUAAUCACAU